CUGGGUAUGAGCCGGUGUUCGGUCCCAUCCUUGGUCUGUUUCUUUUUCCCCAAGAUUCAGCAAGGCCCUGGGAUCGUUCUGAGAUUAUACGGCCAAACUUGAUCUGGAUAAUACCAGCGAAAGGAUCAUGCCUUCCCCUUUU
rnacentral:ncRNA from 1 species